UACGUAGGGCGCGAGCGUUGUCCGGAUUUACUGGGCGUAAAGAGCGCGCAGGCGGUCGUUCAAGUCGAGUGUGAAAGCCCCCGGCUCAACUGGGGAGGGUCACUCGAUACUGAUCGACUCGAAGGCAGAAGAGGGAAGCGGAAUUCCCGGUGUAGUGGUGAAAUGCGUAGAUAUCUGGAGGAACACCGGGUGGCGAAGGCGGCAUCCUGGACCAAAUCUGACGCUGAGGAGCGAAAAGCCAGGGGGAGCCAAACGGG
rnacentral:rRNA from 1 species